GACAAUAUCAGUAUAUUGAAGAUUCUUCUGGUACUGUAUGUGAUCUGAUGAGAAAUUACAUUUGUCAAGUCCGUUCUCAUCCUCAGGAGUUUGACGACUUUGAUUUCGACAAACUGUUUCCUAAAGAGGAAUGUGACAGUUCAGAAGGUGAAGAUGGAUCCUGAAUGGUGUGUAUCAAAAAGAUGAAGGCCCUUCUGCUGUAUAUAAGUGCAGUCAUGAAUCAUGUUUCAGCUAUAAUCUGUUAUUUAAGAAGUUCCUACCUACUAUAGUGGUUCUAGAACUGCAUAUCUUUUAAUAAAGAACAUUAAUAAAUCCAACUAAGAACAUAUAAAUUUUCUUGGGUCAUGCAUAUGACUUGAAGAAAAUGUUGUUUUUAUAUAUAGGAUAUUAGCUUCUGAUAGUCUUAAUAAUUUUAUACAUGAGAAAUUACAGUGGUGAAACA